rnacentral:lncRNA from 10 species
GCCUCCAGAGGAGCUGGACUACAGAUGACUUGGCGCAUCUGCUAGAGAAAAACAGCAAAUAGCACAUCUAAAAACAGCUUGGUGGUUUUUUGCAUCUUUAGAGAAAGCUGCUUUAGGAGGGUCUGCAGUAUAGACCUCCUGUAUCUGCAAGGUGACAGACGGAGGACCCCAAGCCGUGGGAACUGGUCACCUACUGUGGGGCCCAGGCCUCUCCCCACUGCAGGUCAAGCCCAUCUUGAAGCCACCACCUGCUUAGUGCUCAAGGUCACCGCUCUCAGCCUGGUCCAGGUGCUGAAGGAUCAUCUCGACACGAGGGGGCGCCAUCUCCUCACAUUGUGAGGAAGCCUCUGGCAUCGGGAUGAAUUUUGUUCUAGAGCUUUCCUUCUACAAACCUCGGUGUUGUUCUCGCUCACAUGCAAGAAAGAAUCGGAGUAUUGUGAGAUGGAGUCGCCUAAGCUGGAGUGCAGUGACAUGAUCUCGGCUCACUGUAACCUCUGUCUCCCGGAUUCAAGCAAUUCUCCUGCCUCAGCCUCUGGAG